UCACACAGCUCCUUUAAAAAAGAAAACAAUCUCCUCUAGCGGAUAACUACCCACUCUCCCUAAACUGUGGGCCUUCAAGCAGCCACCAAUAAAGAAUGCGUCACAGCUCUAUAAACAAAAAUUCAACAAUAAAAUGACUCCCUUCUCACUAACAGGCCAACCUAUAUUAAUAGGAGAAUUAAUGCUAAAAUGAGUAACUAGGGUUCCCCCUCUUAAGCGCAAACUUACAUCCUUAAUAUUAUUAACAGCCUACAAACCAAUAUCUUCACUUCAACAAGAUUAAAAUAUUAAACCUCAUUCUGUUAACCCAACCCAGGUGCGCCCACUAGAAAGAUUAAAAUCUGUAAAAGGAACUAGGCAAACUCAAGGCCCGACUGUUUACCAAAAACAUAGCCUUCAGCCAACCAAGUAUUGAAGGUGAUGCCUGCCCAGUGACAUAAUGUUUAACGGCCGCGGUAUCCUAACCGUGCGAAGGUAGCGCAAUCAAUUGUCCCAUAAAUCGAGACUUGUAUGAAUGGCUAAACGAGGUCUUAACUGUCUCUUACAGAUAAUCAGUGAAAUUGAUCUCCCUGUCCAAAAGCAGGAAUAUAUCCAUAAGACGAGAAGACCCUGUGGAACUUAAAAAUCAACAGCCACUGCUCGCAAACUCAAACCUAAUAGGCCUACCACCCUAUAUGUUGGCUGACAUUUUUCGGUUGGGGCGACCUUGGAGAAAAACAAAACCUCCAAAAAUAAGACCACAUCUCUUAACCAAGAACAACCCCUCAACGUGCUAAUAGUAACCAGACCCAAUAUAAUUGAUAAAUGGACCAAGCUACCCCAGGGAUAACAGCGCAAUCUCCUCUAAGAGCCCACAUCGACGAGGAGGUUUACGACCUCGAUG
rnacentral:rRNA from 1 species